rnacentral:rRNA from 1 species
CCUACGGGAGGCAGCAGUGAGGAAUAUUGGUCAAUGGGCGCGAGCCUGAACCAGCCAAGUCGCGUGAGGGAGGACGGCCCUACGGGUUGUAAACCUCUUUUGCCGGGGAGCAACGGGCGUCACGUGUGGCGCCACUGAGAGUACCCGGAGAAAAAGCAUCGGCUAACUCCGUGCCAGCAGCCGCGGUAAUACGGAGGAUGCUAGCGUUAUCCGGAUUUAUUGGGUUUAAAGGGUGCGUAGGCGGAUCGUUAAGUCAGUGGUCAAAUUGAGGGGCUCAACCCCUUCCCGCCAUUGAAACUGGCGAUCUUGAGUGGAAGAGAAGUAUGCGGAAUGCGUGGUGUAGCGGUGAAAUGCAUAGAUAUCACGCAGAACCCCGAUUGCGAAGGCAGCAUGCCGGCUUCCGACUGACGCUGAAGCACGAAAGCGUGGGGAUCGAACAGGAUUAGAUACCCCUGUAGUC